GAUGAACGCUAGCGGCAGGCUUAACACAUGCAAGUCGAGGGGCAGCACGAUGUAGCAAUACAUUGGUGGCGACCGGCGCACGGGUGCGUAACACGUAUGGAACCUGCCCUGUACUGGGAGAUAGCCCUCCGAAAGGAGGAUUAAUAUCCCAUAAUAGCUUGGGUGGCAUCACCUGGGUUUGAAAGCUCCGGCGGUACAGGAUGGCCAUGCGCACGAUCAGCUAGUUGGUGAGGUAACAGCUCACCAAGGCUACGAUCGUUAGGGGGCCUGAGAGGGUUAUCCCCCACACUGGUACUGAGACACGGACUAGACUCCUACGGGAGGCAGCAGUGAGGAAUAUUGCGCAAUGGAGGAAACUCUGACGCAGCCAUGCCGCGUGCAGGAAGAAGGCGCUACGCGUUGUAAACUGCUUUUAACCGGGAAGAAACCCUCCGACGUGUCGGAGGUUGACGGUACCGGAGGAAUAAGCACCGGCUAACUUCGUGCCAGCAGCCGCCGUAA
rnacentral:rRNA from 1 species